rnacentral:lncRNA from 1 species
UUAAUUUUCGGAUCGUGGAUUGGAGGCCGUUCGGGUGGUCGCGCGAGAGUUCGAGCCGAACCGGGUCACGGGUGCCGCGGGAGGCCGAUUGCAAGUGACGACAAGCAAUCGGAAUGCGAAUCGAGGUGAGUUGUAUUUACCGAAGCGACUAGGUCGCCGUUAUGUCUAAGAGUAAUGUGGUUUCAUAUUGAUGCAUGUAAAUGCUAAGUG